GACGAACGCUGGCGGCGUGCUUAACACAUGCAAGUCGAACGGAAAGGCCCUGCUUUUGUGGGGUGCUCGAGAGGCGAACGGGUGAGUAACACGUGAGUAACAUGCCCCUGACUUUGGGAUAACUUCAGGAAAAUGGGGCUAAUAUAGGAGAGGAGCUACUGAUGCGUGGUGGGGGUUGGAAAGAUUCGGCGGUUGGGGAUGGUCUCGCGGCUUAUCAGCUUGUUGGUGGGGUAGUGGCUUACCAAGGCUAUGACGGGUAGCCGGCCUGAGAGGGUGACCGGCCACAUUGGGACUGAGAUACGGCCCAGACUCCUACGGGACGCAGCAGUGGGGAAUAUUGCACAAUGGGCGGAAGCCUGAUGCAGCGACGCCGCGUGCGGGAUGACGGCCUUCGGGUUGUAAACCGCUUUCGCCUGUGACGAAGCGUGAGUGACGGUAAUGGGUAAAGAAGCACCGGCUAACUACGUG
rnacentral:rRNA from 1 species